AUCCUGCACAUCAGUACCGAUUACCCCAAGACCAAAUGAAAGCCGUAUGAUUAUGAUUGUUAAAUCUAGAUGGAGUAUGUUGUGCUGCUCUGUCAAAAGGAGGAAAAUAGAAAUAAGAAAGUCACCCGUAUUGAAGGCGCGUGAUAUUGUCAUCGAUGUUGUUUAAAACCUAAGUCCGUCACCACCAAUCAUGUUUUAAGUCACUCGCAUUAUUAUAUGUUAAACAAUUCUAGCGAAAUUUAUCCUGUUUCUUGUGUUAAGAAAUAACAGGUUAUUAUAGCACACCACACAGGAUAACUAGUUCAUUACAAUAAAACUACGUAAAACGGGAACUAACAGGAAAUAUGAUAUCAAUUAGUAUAUAUUUCCUGUUUGCUCGCGAUUUAAUUAAUCAUUAGAUAGAUACCUACUACUUUUCGCUGAACAAAUAAAUUCAAUUACUAUUAAAAAUUGAUAUAUCAAAUACCACACAAUCUAUACAUUCAUCAGGCAUGUCAAAGACAUUUUGUAACAUGUCUAAGGUAUACCGAGUUCCAUAGGUCAAGGGAGCCAAUUGAAACACAAGAUUGGGCUGCAUCGUGGAACACACCUCACAUUUACGCUCGACAAAAUAUGACAACACACUCGAUUAGAAAACGAAAUGGGUUCUUAUCAAAAACCUAACUAUUUGUGCUACAGUGCUACUCAGAAUAUGACAAAAUUUUCCUGUUCUUUACACCAGAUUCUACCUCUAGUGGCCAAUAAGAAUAUACUUUUACCAAAGAAUAGCAUACAGGACAGAGCACCAAAAUAUUUGUAUAAUAAGCUCUAAAGCCAAAACCCAAUUAAAACCUAACUUGAGCUCUGGAUCGAACUAGCAGUAUUGUUAUUGGAGUAAAAAGAAUAUUUAUUUGCUUGGAGCUGGAUAAACACUGGUGAUUCCACAAAGUAUUCUUCUUGUCCCGGUGUUGAUCUUACGUCAUCUAACCCAACUAUUGUAUGAAAUUUAUUCUAGGCAAUUGUCCUUCAAAAUUCUGAAAUUUUGCUAUAAACCAACAAAAGGGUAGGCCUUCAUAAGGUGCUAAAUAAAUGAGAUAAUAAAUUCAUAACUUUUUUGCAAAUAAAUAGGCAUAACAGCAAUGACACAUUAGAAAAUAUUUCACAAUUUUCAAACCUCUGACCAUUUAGAUAAUUAGAUUUCGAAGAAACAGUAAGAAUACCCAUAUUUUAUGAUUAGUAGACAUCAACACAUUUAUUUCCAACAAACACAACCCAUGAUUCAACUGCUGACUCACCCAUAUAAAUGGUGUCAGUUAGACCAGCCCUGUUCCUAUACAAUUACCAGCGAUGAACCAAUAAUCACUUUUCACAAACAACGCUGACAUUUUAGCAAUUUAAGAAAUAUGUAAAAUAAAGACAACAAAGAUUCUACAACCUAUUGUCGUUUUUUUUGUGUAAAAAAUGAUUAAAGCAGAAUAAUUCCAAAGCAUGUAUUAUUAAAAUAAUUCUACGGAUUAUGGAUUGUUUCUUAAUGUUAGUAUGUCUCACAACAGUUUAAAUUCAGGCAUGUAUUAUUAAUCCUUUCACCAUCCAGUAAUCCAUUAACUUUAUUUUCUUUUUGUAAGUAGAAUAAUUUCAAGAGACAAACUAAAAACAAUUAUGACAUGGUUAUUGCAAUGCAUUUUAUUUCUAGGACAUAUAAUUAAUAUAACAAAAAUCUUUGGUUUUUAUUUAAAUUCAUUUGUGUACAUAAUUUAAUACAGAUGUUUCAUAAUUAAAUUGAAAUCUAAAAAACCUGAACCACAUAUCGUCGGGGAUAGUGCAAUACAGCGUAACUAACAAAGUUGUAAGAGUUCGAAAUUCAAACAAUGUACAAGGUAAUUGGACCUUACUGCAUUUGUUAGUUAAGCGGUAUUGCACUGUCCCCGACGAUAUCGCAGAAUACUAACAAUUGUCUGAAAAACACUUUCCUUUCCCACACAAACCCAGCUAAGCUGUCUUUACAAAAUUGUGAAUAAUAACAUUUUGCUUCCCAUACAAAUCGAGCCGCAAAGAAUUUCACACAAGUUUUAACACGAAGUCUGGAGGUCAGCGGGUCGACAUCACUGACAGUGACAGAAUUAAGACGUUUUCAUAGUUUACUUAAUGUACAGCCAUGUCAAUGUCAUGCACGACUCGAUUGACAGUUCCCAGUUUGAAUCAGUGCCUUGCCGCAAAAAAGGUUCUAUAAUAUUUCAGUAUUGUAUUAUGUGGAUUACAUUCCACACAAUCGAAUAUGCCUUGGACCGCACUAAGGUCAUCGUUCACUACAUACCCAGUCUGGGGGCCUACCGCGAAAACCGAAAUUCGCAAAUUGCGGGGAUCUUUCUCUUUUAUUCUUAGUAAGACGUAACACCAAGGCCCCCCAUUGUCUAUUCUCAAUACAAAAUUUGAUACUCAAGCCGUAGCCAUUUAGGUCGUGAGCAAGCUGUGUAUGCGAGCGUGUGGGUUUUUGACCAACUAAUAAAAUAUAUUUUCUGUAAUAAUUGAGUUAUUAUAAAGUAUUCAUUAUACAUUAGUAUUUCUAUGAUGUUAAUUUUUAGUGCAGAUAUCGAAGCUUUAAUUAAUUGCCCACCACCAAAAUGGCUACGGCUUGAGUAUUAAAUUUUGUAUAGACAACCGACAACGGGGGGCCUACCACAAAAACCGAAAAUCUUUCUCUUUUACUCUUACUAAGACGUAAUUAGAAUGACAGAGAAAAAUGCCCGCAAUGACGAACUUCGAUUUUCGCGGUUAUAGACCAGUGUCAAACCGUGAGUUGUGACGUCAUCAGAAUCUUCAAUGUCGUUUCGACUUGGGUCAUGUGACGUGUGCCAAAAGAUAUUUUAAAUUCAUUAUUUACAAAAAUAUGGUCAUUACAGGUCCCCUAAAAGUAGUUUAACAUGUUCUUAUAAUCCAAAAUAAUUUAUUGGGAUACAAUUCUGCCCUAAGAUUUGUAGAUGGAAACAACCCUAUUCUUUGGCCUAAAAUUGAUCAACUUUGAUUCCAUAUAUCUCGAAGACAGUGAACUUUGAACAGCCGUUGCUGUUAAUAUGAUAAGCUACAAAAAACAUUAGAAAACUAUGGAAUUAAGCCCCUUAAGUGAACGUUUCAUGAACACUCAAUUUUUUCAUAUGUCAAUUGCAUACUUAAGUGCCAAUAUCAUACCGAAUUUUUAAAGUUCGAUAGACUAGGGGCCAUUUUGUGCGCUUGCAACAUGUAUUAUUCAUCCGCUAGUUCUGAACACACUACAAUUAGCAGAGCCCAACUGGGAAGUACCUUACAGAAAACCGCAGCUAAAUAACAAUAAACCCUACUCAUAGUGUUGUGUUCCUGCCGGUGACUAACGUUGCCAGAGCUCAACGAGGGGAUGGAGGGGUGUUAGGGUCGGCAACGCGCAUGUAAUUCCUCUGGAGUUGCCUGCGUACAUAGGCUACGGAGACGGCUUACCAUCAGGCGGGCCGUAUGCAUGUUUGCCACCAAUGUAGUAUUAAAAAAUAAAACUGGACUGCCCGCCGUCUAGUCAGACAAUAGGGUUGUUUCCAUCUACAAAUCUUAGGGCAGAAUUGUAUCCCAAUAAUUUCUUUUGGAUUAUAAGAACAUGUACUAGCUACUUUUAGGGGACCUGUAAUGACCAUAUUUUUGUAAAUAUUGAAUUUAAAAUAUCUUUUGGCACUAGUCACGUGACCAAACUAGAAACGUCUUUGAAGAUUCUGAUGACGUCACAACUCUCGGAUUGACACUUUUGACAGUUAGGCGAUAAACAACAAAUGACAAAUGUCAGUUGACAGUUCGUAUCUUCUACGUGUGUAUGUAGUUAUGUGGCAAACCGUAAACUAUGACGUCACACAAUUUUCAAAGAGCGUUUUGGGCUCGAAAGCAUCUGUCAAAAUAUAUUUUGUUAAUUUAACAUAUUUAAAGCCGUUUUCAGUAUACAAGUUGAAUUUUAGGGCAAUGUUUAGUUGAUAUAGAACGUAAUACAAGCGUUUCAAAAAAAUUGAAACAACCCUAUUCACGACUACCCACAGACCAACGUCAGACUGUCUGUGGCUCUGAGGCGACCGUGUAGCGAGCCCUUUAUCACUAAUCUAUAAUAGACCGAACUGCAACCUUGGACCAACUGUUACAGUAACGCUUAAAUUUUGAUCAUAAAUAAAAUAAGCAAUUUGGCGACCGUCUAGAUCUGCCUUUUAGUGAGCGCGAGAGAGAUAUUUUGACCGGACCAAGGUCACGUACCUGUAUGCCCGUUUGUUAUGACCUUAAGAGCAGGUUAAAUAAAACAAAAUUGUCAUGUCAAUGUCACUGUGAAUUGACCUAUUAUGAAUAGUCAUUGAAUAGUAUUUACUGAAGACGUUUACUGGAUUGAACUUACUGAAAAGAAAAAAGAUCCUACUUAUGACAAGGCAGCAUGGCUUAGAGCUUUAGCCUGUCAAGAUGGACGACAAAAAAAACAAUGUGAUGUGACUGUCAUUAGUGUCAUUACUCGACUUGAUCCUCGCCUCGGGACGGGAUCCUCCAUCGUUCAAUUUAGAGCCAAGUUGCUAUUUUGUGUUAAAUUAAAAAUUAUGCUGUGAAGGAACUUAAAUUUUAAUUUAACAAGGUUUUCUUAUCAUUGGAAUAAUCUUGAAAACCAUGGCACAUUCGUUGGAGGUUCACAAUUGUAAUUGAUUGGUGGAAACUGCCACAAGUCUAGAAACCAUGAUGAGGACACUAACACUAACUGAACAAAGCAGCAAAGUAAGACUUGAAAUGAACACUAAUAAAACAAAAGUGCAUAAUCAUUGGUAACGAGACAAUAGAAUAUGUAAACAACUAUAUAUAUUUGGGCAAACAGGUGUCAUUCUCGAAAACCAGUAAGAAGAAGAGGUUAACAGAAGAUCAAGUAUAACCUGGAAGAAGUACUGGUCUCUGAAGGAAGUUCUGAAGGGAGACUACAGCAUGACAUUAAAAAGCGUGGUGAGUGACACCUGUCUCCUGUCAUGUCUAGUCUAUGGCUCACAAACAUGGGUUUACACCAGCAAAGUUAAGGAGAAAAUGAGAACUACACAGAGAGCUAUGGAGAAAAGCAUGACGGGGCUGCUCAGCGGGGACCACACUGAAAACAGUACACAGUAAACAGUUGUAAUACAGUUCUUUAUCUAAAAUUAAUUUCUCACAUGCGUCAUUAUUAGCUAAUUGUAGGGCUGCCAUCUUGAUUUUCGCCAAACCCGGACAAAGAUUAAAAAAAACCCGGACAUUUGGCGUAAAUCGCAUUUUUUCCCCAGACGAGUCCGAAAAUAAUAUUUUUAAAAAACAAGACCUUUAGUUUUCAUACAUUUAUUUUUUUAAUUUCACACAAUGUGUAAUUUGUAAUAAACAAAAACAAAACAAUUUUUCUUACAAAAAAAUAAAAUUUGUUUCUUUUUACAA